rnacentral:rRNA from 1 species
AAUGAACGUUGGCGGCGUGGAUUAGGCAUGCAAGUCGGACGGGCCGCAAGGCCAGUGGCGCAAGGGUGAGUAAGGCGACGGUAACCAACCCCGCAAUUGGGUAUAGCCGCGGGAAACCGCGGGUAAUCCCCAGCGACGCAAGGACGCCGGCAUCGGCGUCUUGCCAAAGCUUCGGCGUUGCGGGACGGGCUGUCGUGGUA